rnacentral:rRNA from 1 species
UAGGGAAUAUUAGGAAUGGACGAAAGUCUGAUCUAGCAACACCGCGUGUGCGAAGAAGGCCUUCGGGUUGUAAAGCCCUUUUUGGAAGGAUUAGGAAGGAAUGUACUUCCAGAAUAAGUCUCGGCUAACUACGUGCCAGCAGCCGCGGUAACACGUAGGAGGCAAACGUUAUCCGGAUUUACUGCGCGUAAAGCGCGUGUAGGUGGUUCUGUAAGUAGGGCGUGAAAGCUCCUGGCUCAACUGGGAGAGGCCGUUCUAAACUGCAGAGCUAGAGGAUGGUAGAGGGAGGUGGAAUUCCGGGUGUAGCGGUGGAAUGCGCAGAUAUCCGGAGGAACACCAGUGGCGAAAGCGGCCUCCUGGACCAUUCCUGACACUCAGACGCGAAAGCUAGGGUAGCAAACG